CCCUUAGAUGUCCUGGGCCGCACGCGCGCUACACCGAGUGUCUGAGAUACGAGUCUGCCUGGUCCGGCAAGGUCUAGGUAAUCGCUAAAAGACACAUCAUGCUUGGGAUAGAUUAUUGCAAAUAUUAAUCUUGAACGAGGAAUUCCUAGUAAGCGCAAGUCAACAGCUUGCGUUGAUUACGUCCCUGCCCUUUGUACACACCGCCCGUCGCUACUACUGAUUGGAUGUUUAAGCGAGGUUCUCGAACUGCUAGCGACUUAGCUUCGGUGAGGUCGCAGUGUGGGAAGUGAACCUAGCUUUGGUGUCUAGAGGAAGUAAAAGUCGUAACA
rnacentral:rRNA from 1 species